rnacentral:rRNA from 1 species
AACGUAGGACACAAGCGUUAUCCGGAGUUACUGGGCGUACAGGGAGCGUAGGCGGUUGGAUAAGCCCUCCGUGAAAUCUCCAGGCUUAACCUGGAAAGUGCAGAGGGGACUGUUCAGCUAGAGGAUGGGAGAGGAGCGCGGAAUUCCCGGUGUAGCGGUGAAAUGCGUAGAGAUCGGGAGGAAGGCCGGUGGCGAAGGCGGCGCUCUGGAACAUUUCUGACGCUGAGGCUCGAAAGCGUGGGGAGCAAACAGG